rnacentral:rRNA from 1 species
AGUGAACGCUGGCGGUAGGCCUAACACAUGCAAGUCGAACGGCAGCACAGUAAGAGCUUGCUCUUACGGGUGGCGAGUGGCGGGCGGGUGAGGAAUACAUCGGAAUCUACUUUUUCGUGGGGGAUAACGUAGGGAAACUUACGCUAAUACCGCAUACGACCUACGGGUGAAAGCAGGGGAUCUUCGGACCUUGCGCGAUUGAAUGAGCCGAUGUCGGAUUAGCUAGUUGGCGGGGUAAGGGCCCACCAAGGCGACGAUCCGUAGCUGGUCUGAGAGGAUGAUCAGCCACACUGGAACUGAGACACGGUCCAGACUCCUACGGGAGGCAGCAGUGGGGAAUAUUGGACAAUGGGCGCAAGCCUGAUCCAGCCAUACCGCGUGGGUGAAGAAGGCCUUCGGGUUGUAAAGCCCUUUUGUUGGGAAAGAAAAGCAGCAGGUUAAUACCCCGCUGUUCUGACGGUACCCAAAGAAUAAGCACCGGCUAACUUCGUG